UCUCGGCCUGGGGAGGCCUUGGCAGGGCCCAUUAUCAACAGCAGUAUUGAUAAUCCUCACUCUGUGUAGGUCUAGGAAAUGUAUGUUUAUGUCUUAGUUUUUAACAAAGUUCAAAAAGUAAAAAAAUAAGAGAUAUAAAAUAGCAUGUAGAAUAAGGAUAUGAAGAGAGAAAAUAUUUUUGUACAGCUGUAUAAUGUGUGUUUUUAGCUAAGCAUUAUUACAGGAGUCAAAAGUUUAAAAUUUUUUUUAAGUUUAUAAAGUUAUAGUAAGCUAGGGUUAAUGUUUUAUUACAUAAAAUCUUUUUCAUAAAUUUAAUGUAGCCUAAAUGUACAGCAUUUAUCAAGUCUGUACUAGAGUAGUGUACAGUAAUGCCCUGGGUCUUCACAUUCACUCACCACUCACUGACUUACCCAGAGCAACUUCCAGUCCUGCGAGCUCCAUUUACUCUAAGUGCCCGAUACAGGUGUACCGUUUUUAUGUUCAAUACCACAUUUUUACAGCACUUUUUCUUCGUUUAGAUAUAUUUAUAUACACAAAUACUCACCAUUGUGUUCCAUGUGCCUGCAGUAUUCAGUGGGGUCACAUGCUGUACAGGUUUGCAGCCUUGAAGCCAUAGGUCAUACCACACAGCCUGUGUGUGUAGUAGGCUGUAGCACCUGUUUUUGUGCAAGUGCAUUCUGUGGUAUCCCCACAAGGACUGAAUUGCCUAAUAAAGCAUUUUUCAGAAUGUACCCAUUGUUAAACAUAUGACCAUAGACAUAUGACCAUACUUCUAAGAUGUUGUCCACCAGCACCCAAGGUUUGUGUUGAGUGUUGGUCAUGCGCACAUCCUCUGCUAGCAGAUACCAAAAUUCCAGAGUCCCAGAAGGAAAGCAGGCUCAGCAUACACCACCUUGUUUGUACACCUUGUGUGCAUAGUGAGCUGCUCUUACAUGUCCUGGGAAUGCUGGGAGCCCUCCUGAAAUGGACAGUCUCAGAUGCCAGCUGAGGCCAGCCAUGGAAGCAGCCCUUUCUGAGCAUGGCAGUCUCAGGCUUACUUUGUUCACUGCUUGCUGCAUACUGUGCUGUUUUGUUCUUUCUCUUCUGCUUCUACAUUUUUAGGUAGAUGAUCAGCAUCAUUUCCCGGGUUGCAAAGGCCUCCUUUUAGAGGGCAGAGGGGGUUGUUACUGAUGGCAGAUGCUAAAUAAGCAUGUGUUCGUGUGUGCAUGCAUGUCACUCAGUAACAUUUGAGAAUCAACAUGGCUAAUCCUUGCCGUGUAGAAAUGAGAGGCUGGGGCCUUCCAGUGUUCAAAGAGAAGCCAGAAACCCAGACUUAUUUUUUAAUGUUUCCUGUUGUUAGCUGGGGUUUUUAAAAGAAUCUCCAAGUAAAACAAAACCUGUCUGAGCUACCCCAGCCUGUGGACAGCCAGCUUUGCUUCAGGUGGGAGGGAGUCAUCACGGUCUUUAGACAGAUAUUCUGUUAGUUCCCUAGGGCUUCCAGAACAAUGUGCGACACACUGGGUGCCUUCAACACCAGAACUUCAUUGUCUCCCAGUUCUGGAGGCCACAAGUCUGAAAUCAGGGCAUUGGCUAGGUUGGUUCCAAGGCCAUGAGGGAAGGUUCUGCUCCAGCCUCUCUCUGUGGUGUGUGGGUGCCCAGCCUCAUGCUCACGUGGCGUUCUCCUGUGUGCAUGUCUUGUCUCCAAGUUUCCCCUUCAUGUAAGGGACCCAGUCGUAUUAUAUUAGGUCCUGCCCUAAUGACCUCCUUCAACUCCACUAUUUCUGUAAGGUCUUGUCUCCAAAUACGACCCAUUCUGAGGCACUGGGGGUUAGGACUUCAACAUAUGCAUUUUGGAAGAGAGGACACAGUGUCACCCAUAUCCACGGGAUACCCACAGAAUCAUGCAUGCAUUUUAUUAAGAUCUCUCCAGGGAUACCAGUAAGGAGGUUUUGGCUGUAGUUUAGGUUAAAGAUUAUACUUUAUAUUAAUUUAUUAACCUACAUUCAUAAUAGGAGUGUAUCGUUCAGGCUAUUGGAAAAUCCUACAGCAUCAGUUACAAAAAGAAUCCAGAUGUGAAACUGGCAGAAAUUUUAUAAACAAAAUAAUAAUUAUUACUUUAAAAUAAUUUUUCUUGGCCACAAAAGUGGUAAUUUUUAGAGCAUUGCUGAAUACAGGGAGUUUGGGUAGCUACCCCAAUUCCCCCAGAAUAGUGUGGUUAUGAGACAGCACUCUGGAAUCAGAAUAUAGCUCAGAGUGGAGUGAAGCUGCCGACUCCACGAAGUCUUGGCCCGUAUGGUCUCGACCUCAGCCUUGUUGAAACAUGCUCUAAUCAUCCAAACCAAACAGCUGAAAGGCAGCAGGAUUAAAACCCAGAAGGAAAUUAUAUCUGGUACAGACUCAGACGAUUAACUGGCCUAGUAUUACUCUUUAAAAUUGGAUGGGAGUAAUUCCAGCGUCAUUGGGAUCUCGUUUGCACCUGUCCCCGAUUCUGUGAGUUUGUUUCAUCCCUCCAAAUGCCUCUGAACAGCAUUGUGAUGUGCUGCCAGCUGAUGCCUCUGUAGCUCCGUAGCUGCUCAUUGAUCUGUGGUUUCGAGAGAGACUUCUCAGGAUAGUCAUUCUCGUGAAUUAAAUCUGAAAACUUAAUUGAGCAAGAGUGACCUAUUAGCAAUGGUCGUGGGAUAUUGUUUAGAAAAACCAACUGUGUAUUAUUUUACUUGGCAGAGAGUUAAAAUAUCCACGUGGGAGUUUACAAAAGAAGUUGCAGCUGACCCUUGACUAUAGUUUUAUUGGCAAGUUUUGCUAAAUUACGUACUUUUAAGUCGAGCUUACGGUGAAUGCCUUAUCUCCCAAUGGAACAACUGCUUUCCCUGUUACAGGAUGUAUCUUAUUGUCUGAUUCCUUCAGUUGGCCGUAGUGGAAUAUAUCAUUACCUGGUUCAUGACUGUUUGGUUUUUUCCCCAGACAUUAAGUAUUACCUUAAAUAUUACCUAAUAUGAGUUACCAGUAUUCAUCAACUAAGGUAAGUUACCAAGUCAGAAGAAAACGUAGUCAGCUUUAGUACCGCGCCACUGAGCACCGACCUCUGUGGAGAGCGUGGGAGAUUGAGCAGCUCAGGUCUGUACAGGAGUGGAGUGUCCCGGAUCUCCUUCACAGUCUUCUUUUUCUGCUGCUUUAAUGAUCUGGAGGUUUACUUACUUCUAGUCCCUGUUUGCUGCUCCCAGCACGGUGGUGUUGGAGAGUGAGAGGAGUUUGUCAUCAGCCUUUGUAAAGUGUGCAGCCUGGGGCUCUGAGGUCAGCGCCCGCUAGAAUUCCACUGAGCCUCACCUAGAUCUUUACCUGGAGAGUUACAGUGUUCACACAGGGGAAAAUUAAGAUCUAAAACAUUGCUUUUCUUUCUCUUCAAACUUAAUAUAAUAAAUCCUAUUAAAGAUGAAAAUCUCCAAAAAUUGAUAAGGUUAUUGAGUUCUAUUGAGUGACCUACUUUUGUCCAAUGGUGUGGCAACUAUCACUGCGGUUAUUCUUCAGCGAAGAGCACUUGGAACCCCCCAGUGGCCCUUCCAGUGUGGUUAGAGUGCUGUGCUUCAUGACCCCUGUGCCUUACGUGAAGGUCGCGCCGGCUUCCUGUGUGCCCGUAGUAGAGCAGACUCUGCCUGGGGCUGCCGCCUCUGAACUCUGUUGUUCACUACGGCACCUGUCUCACAAGCCAAGGACUCAGUUUCCCUUAAUUCACUACACCUUUGUCGACGCGAUGCAGUUCUCUUUCCUGAAUGCCGUUAUUUGUGGUCGUUUUACUAGAGGAAUCUCCUGUGUGUAGUCCCACCGACUUCCAUUGUGCUGGAAAUCUGCCCUUCUCACAGCUCUUUCGGAAGCCUGCCGGAGCCCUGCAUGGAUGUGGCCCCUUGUCGACCCUGCAGGACCGUGCGUCCAUUAAGCAUUCAGGGAGCAUGCUCUGCCGGCCCCUGUGCUAGAUGCCAGGCACACUGGGGAUGAGAUGAGGGCCUCAGCCAGGCUUCCUAGGGGGGACACAGGGAGAAGGCUCUUGCACGGCACUGAGAUAAAUGCAGCUCAGGGAGCAAGGCGAGGGUCACCCCAGCCAAUUUGGGAAGGUCAAGGUGGACUUUCUCUAUAAUGGUUUUCCAUUUUAUUAUCAGUGCACGUAGAACGUCUUAUCACAGUUUAUUGGCUAUUUUGCCUUUGGGAUUUGAAACAUGUUACUCCACCUGAGCCAAGAACAACUCCAGGGUUAGAGGCGUAGAACCCUGCACAGUUGAAAAUCUGUGUAUAACUUUUGACCCUACAAAACUUAACUAAUAGAUUGCUGUUGACUGAAAGCCUUACCUAUAACAUAAAGAUUAGAUUACGAUCUAUUUUGCAUGUUGUAUGUAUGCUGUGCUGUAUUAUUACAAUGAAGUAAGCUAGAGAAAAGAAAAUGUUAAAAUAAUAAGAACAAGAAAUACAUCUGCCAUUCAUUAAGUAUAAAUGGGUCAUCAUAAAAGUCAGUAUCCUGGUGGUUUUCACAUUGAGGAGUGGAAGAGGGGUUGGUCUUGCUGCCUCCGGGCCGUGGAGGUGGAAGAGCUGGAGAAGGCGGAAGGGAGGCCGGAGAGGCAGCUGAAUUCGGUGUCACCGUUACCGAAAAAAUCUGCCCAUUACUGGAUCCACACAGCUCAAACCUGUGUUGUUGAGGGGUCAGCCGUACUUGCUUUUUAGGAUUUUCACUUUGUCUUCUGUACAGUGCCCUGAUCCAUUCUAAGGAACAUCUGACAAGCCAUAAAAGUCCAAGUUUUUAAGACUUAAAACACUGUUGUUUCAUUCAUAAAAAACCAAAAACAGAACAAUAAUCUUUUUAAGGAAGAGAACCAUUAGUCAUGGAUGCUUUUGUUCAGCAAACAGCUAGGUGCCACCCCUUGCCUCUCAUCAUGGCAGAGCCACCAUGUCUCCGGAAGAGGCAAAGAAGAGUCUGACCUGCCCCUCCACACCCCACCGACUUAUUUGGCAAAAUAAGUCACCAGGAAGCUUUGGUUGCUUUGAGGGAGCAUUAGACCCUCUCACUUUGUCUGUGGUUUAGGGAUGAGGGGUGGGGGGCUCUGCAGAGGAGCUGGGCAGGCCGUGUGACCUUAUGCUGCAUGUGACCCUACACUGCUCAUGACCCUGCACAGCUCACUGACGGUCUUUUGAUCCUUAAUCUGCCCAGAGUUUUGCUUCCAUUAAGGAUUAUUCCUCCCCCUCUCUUUUCCACCCUCUCUGUCUUUGUCUCUCUGCCCUUACUCCCUCGCCCUUCUCUCCCUGGCUGCCUUCCCCCUGAAUCCCCCAUGGCUGCCUCCUCUCCUGCUCCUCCAUCUGUAUAGUCACUGCCUGAAGAGUCCUUGCUGCUCCAAUUUAAUUUUUUAUUAUGCAAGAGACCACUUCAUUUUCCUGCUCCUGUGCCCCGUAUGAUAUUGCAAGCCUAGUUUAGGCACUUGCAAACAGCUUUGCCUUAGAAGUUCUUUUCCAAACUAUUGCAAGAGCACCGCAUACCAGGUUUUACUCCCUCUCCUUUGCAGCCUCUUCAUCCUGUUUCCGGCCCUUAAAAUGGGGGGGGGGCUCCACUCUCAUGCCCAGCCCCUCCUUUUCUCCAUUCUUAUGCCUCCUCCAGGUCCUGUGUCCCUGGCUUUGCUUUGUGGGCCUGUCGCAGACUCUCAGACUGGCUCCCCAGUGCUGUCUUCUUGGACCUCCAGACCUGCGUGUUCACUGCUAUGUGGCAUCUUCUGGAACAUUUCAAGACAGCAUCCAAAGUCAGACCUGUGAUCUUUUACCAACCUCUUCCUCCCCAGGGUACCCUGGAGAGGAAGAAUAGCGCCUACCUAGCUGUGCAGGCGGGGAUCUGGGGGUCUUCCAGAGCAGCCCACCUUCCGUGGUUGUGGGGCCCCUUCACAGGCCUUGUGUAUUGGCGUCCUGAAAGAGACCUCUCCCAAUCAGUAUUAAUUACACUUUUUCUCAAGAACUUCUUAAAAGUUUAGCCUCCUCCUCACGAUACCCUGAUGAGAUAACAGGUGUGAAUUCUCCCUUUUAUUUAUUUAUUUUUAAAAACCUUUCCCAUUCCAUUUGGGAGUGUUGGUA